rnacentral:rRNA from 1 species
UAUGGAUGGGGCUAGCGCUGUUCGGAAUUACUGGGCGUAAAGGGCGCGUAGGCGGCGUCGUAAGUCAGGCGUGAAAGGCCCGGGCUCAACCCGGGAACUGCGCUUGAUACUGCGGCGCUCGAGUCCGGGAGAGGAUGGCGGAAUUCCCAGUGUAGAGGUGAAAUUCGUAGAUAUUGGGAAGAACACCGGUGGCGAAGGCGGCCAUCUGGACCGGUACUGACGCUAAUGCGCGAAAGCGUGGGGAGCAAACAGG